UGGGGAAUUUUGGACAAUGGGCGCAAGCCUGAUCCAGCCAUGCCGCGUGCGGGAAGAAGGCCUUCGGGUUGUAAACCGCUUUUGUCAGGGAAGAAAUCUUCUGAGUUAAUACCUCGGGAGGAUGACGGUACCUGAAGAAUAAGCACCGGCUAACUACGUGCCAGCAGCCGCGGUAAUACGUAGGGUGCAAGCGUUAAUCGGAAUUACUGGGCGUAAAGCGUGCGCAGGCGGUUUUGUAAGACAGAGGUGAAAUCCCCGGGCUCAACCUGGGAACUGCCUUUGUGACUGCAAGGCUUGAGUGCGGCAGAGGGGGAUGGAAUUCCGCGUGUAGCAGUGAAAUGCGUAGAUAUGCGGAGGAACACCGAUGGCGAAGGCAAUCCCCUGGGCCUGCACUGACGCUCAUGCACGAAAGCGUGGGGAGCAAACAGGAUUAGAUACCCUGGUAGUCCGCGCCCUAAACGAUGUCAACUGGUUGUUGGGAAGGUUCCUUCUCAGUAACGUAGCUAACGCGUGAAGUUGACCGCCUGGGGAGUACGGCCGCAA
rnacentral:rRNA from 1 species